GGGGAAUUUUCCGCAAUGGGCGAAAGCCUGACGGAGCAAGACCGCGUGAGGGAGGAAGGCUCUUGGGUCGUAAACCUCUUUUAUCAGGGAAGAAGAAAGUGACGGUACCUGAAGAAUCAGCAUCGGCUAACUCCGUGCCAGCAGCCGCGGUAAUACGGAGGAUGCAAGCGUUAUCCGGAAUUAUUGGGCGUAAAGCGUCCGCAGGUGGUCAUUCAAGUCUGCUGUCAAAGAGUGUGGCUUAACCACAUCAAGGCAGUGGAAACUGAAAGACUAGAGUGCUCAAGGGGUAGAGGGAAUUCUCGGUGUAGCGGUGAAAUGCGUAGAGAUCGGGAAGAACAUCGGUGGCGAAAGCGCUCUACUGGAGAGCAACUGACACUCAGGGACGAAAGCUAGGGGAGCGAAUGGGAUUAGAUACCCCAGUAGUCCUAGCCGUAAACGAUGGAUACUAGGUGUGGCUUGUAUCGACCCGAGCCGUGCCGAAGCUAACGCGUUAAGUAUCCCGCCUGGGGAGUACGCACGCAAGUGUGAAACUCAAAGGAAUUGACGGGGGCCCGCACAAGCGGUGGAGUAUGUGGUUUAAUUCGAUGCAACGCGAAGAACCUUACCAGGGCUUGACAUGUCCGGAAUCUCCUUGAAAGGGGAGAGUGCCUUCGGGAGCCGGAACACAGGUGGUGCAUGGCUGUCGUCAGCUCGUGUCGUGAGAUGUUGGGUUAAGUCCCACAACGAGCGCAACCCUCGUCCUUAGUUGCCAGCAUUAGGUUGGGCACUCUAGGGAGACUGCCGGUGACAAACCGGAGGAAGGUGGGGAUGACGUCAAGUCAGCAUGCCCCUUACGCCCUGGGCGACACACGUACUACAAUGCUACGGACAAAGGGCAGCAAGCCAGCGAUGGCAAGCAAAUCCCAGAAACCGUGGCUCAGUUCAGAUCGCAGGCUGCAACUCGCCUGCGUGAAGGAGGAAUCGCUAGUAAUUGCAGGUCAGCAUACUGCAGUGAAUCCGUUCCCGGGCCUUGUACACACCGCCCGUCACACCAUGGAAGCUGGCCACGCCCGAAGUCGUUACCCUAACCCCUUGUGGGAGGGGGACGCCGAAGGUAGGGCUGGUGACUGGGGUGAAGUCGUAACAAGGUAGCCGUACCGGAAGGUGUGGCUGGAUCACCUCCUUU
rnacentral:rRNA from 1 species